rnacentral:rRNA from 1 species
UCGACUCCUACGGGAGGCAGCAGUGAGGAAUAUUGGUCAAUGGAGGGAACUCUGAACCAGCCAUCCCGCGUGUAGGAAGACGGCCUUAUGGGUUGUAAACUACUUUAUACAGGAAGAAACGUACCCUCGUGAGGGUGCCUGACGGUACUGUAGGAAUAAGCACCGGCUAACUCCGUGCCAGCAGCCGCGGUAAUACGGAGGGUGCGAGCGUUAAUCGGAAUUACUGGGCGUAAAGCGCAUGCAGGUGGUUUGUUAAGUCAGAUGUGAAAGCCCGGGGCUCAACCUCGGAAUAGCAUUUGAAACUGGCAGACUAGAGUACUGUAGAGGGGGGUAGAAUUUCAGGUGUAGCGGUGAAAUGCGUAGAGAUCUGAAGGAAUACCGGUGGCGAAGGCGGCCCCCUGGACAGAUACUGACACUCAGAUGCGAAAGCGUGGGGAGCAAACAGGAUUAGAUACCCUGGUAG